CCUGAAGACCGGUCUUUUAACCAAGCCUAUACAGCUUGGCACUUGCUUGAAAAACACUCUAACUCUAGGAUUUUAACGAACCAGAACUAACAAAUUCAUAAGAAUUGAAGGUACUCUGUGAUCCUGGGAAGUAGAGACAUAUCGGAUUGUCGUCUUUAUCUGAGAAUAGUGUUUUUGAUCACUCUUGGCUACUUGGGCAGAAGACAUAAUUCAAUCUUGGGAUCGUCAUAAUGUUUGAGCUUCAGGUCGUCUUUUUAAUCUUAUCUAUCCCGCGGCCGCUACUAUGCUUAAUACUUACUAUGUUAUA